rnacentral:snoRNA from 1 species
AUGUCACUAAAGCACCUAAAGAAUAAUAAAUAGAGUGGCCUGGAGGAUUCGCUUGUGGACCAGAGCAUCCUGGAUGCCCUCCCAGGAAGACCGGGCUGCUGUGUCCUGUCCUGGACAUUC